GAGGGUAGAGCUCAGUGGUAGAGGGCAUGCUUAGCAUGCAGGAGGUCCUGGGUUCAAUCCCCAGUACCUCCA
rnacentral:tRNA from 1 species